rnacentral:rRNA from 1 species
GAUGAACGCUGGCGGCGUGCCUAAUACAUGCAAGUCGAGCGAACAGAUGAGGAGCUUGCUCCUCUGACGUUAGCGGCGGACGGGUGAGUAACACGUGGAUAACCUACCUAUAAGACUGGGAUAACUUCGGGAAACCGGAGCUAAUACCGGAUAAUAUAUUGAACCGCAUGGUUCAAUAGUGAAAGACGGUUUUGCUGUCACUUAUAGAUGGAUCCGCGCCGCAUUAGCUAGUUGGUAAGGUAACGGCUUACCAAGGCAACGAUGCGUAGCCGACCUGAGAGGGGGAUCGGCCAAAAUGGAACUGAGACACGGCCCAGACCCCUAGGGGGGGCAGCAGUAGGGAAUUUUCCGCAAGGGGGGAAAGCCUGACGGAGCAACGCCGGGGGAGUGAUGAAGGUUUUCGGAUCGUAAAACCCUGUUAUGAGGGAAAAAAAAAUGUGUAAGUAACUAUGCACGUUUUGACGGUACCAAACCAAAAAGCCACGGAUAACUACGU